rfam:Cavia porcellus supercont2_38 genomic scaffold, whole genome shotgun sequence.
UGGCACCCGUCAUGGGGCUCCUGGCACUAAGAGCUCAACAAGGGAGCCGUCCUGAGAUGCGUGUGUAAAAGUUUUGUGACCAACGGUACAAGGGAGCCUACUAGAGUCAUGGUAAGUGGACGGCGACCUUUUCCCUUUUUUUCUGGCAUGGGUCAGGCAUUAAGUGAUCAUAAAUGCUUUGUGUCAGGUUUAAGUAAAGCUUUAAAGACAAGAGGGAUAAAAGCUAAAGAAAAAGGUUUAUUGCAGUACUUUCAAUUUAUUCAUAAGGUUUGCCCUU